ensembl:misc_RNA Metazoa_SRP Metazoan signal recognition particle RNA
GGUGGGUGUGGUGGUGCACACCUGUGGUCCCAGCUACUCUGGAGGCUGAGAUGGGAGGAUCACUUGAGCCCAGGAGGUCAAGGCUGCAGUGAGCCAUGAUUGCACCACUGUACUCCAGCCUGGGCAACAGAGUGAGACCCCGUCUCAA